rnacentral:rRNA from 1 species
AUUGAACGCUGGCGGCAGGCUUAACACAUGCAAGUCGAGCGGAGUGAUGGUGCUUGCACUAUCACUUAGCGGCGGACGGGUGAGUAAUGCUUAGGAUCUGCCUAUUAGUGGGGGACAACAUCUCGAAAGGGAUGCUAAUACCGCAUACGUCCUACGGGAGAAAGCAGGGGAUCACUUGUGACCUUGCGCUAAUAGAUGAGCCUAAGUCGGAUUAGCUAGUUGGUGGGGUAAAGGCCUACCAAGGCGACGAUCUGUAGCGGGUCUGAGAGGAUGAUCCGCCACACUGGGACUGAGACACGGCCCAGACUCCUACGGGAGGCAGCAGUGGGGAAUAUUGGGCAAUGGGGGGAACCCUGAUCCAGCCAUGCCGCGUGUGUGAAGAAGGCCUUAUGGUUGUAAAGCACUUUAAGCGAGGAGGAGGCUCUUUUGGUUAAUACCCAAGAUGAGUGGACGUUACUCGCAGAAUAAGCACCGGCUAACUCUGUGCCAGCCGCCGCCGUAA